GAGUAUUUUAUCCAAUCUCCACACAGGAAGGAACUAAGAUGAAGUGCUGGCCAGGUCACCAGGCUGCUUGGGGACAGAGCAGGGUGAACACUGGUGACUUGCACUUUUCGGCUGUUACGAACUAUGUGGCUAUGAACGUGGUGUACACAUCCAUCCGAGUCCCAGCUUUCCUUCCUUCUGGGUGUGUAUAUCCAGAAGUGAAAGGGCGGGGUCAUGUGGCAGCUGAGGUUUUUCUUCACUCUUCUCAUUUGUUAAGACACUGAAGAGCUUGGUGAGACCAGAAGUGUCUGGGUACCCAAGGCCCCACCAUCUCCAGCUUCCCAGGGCCCGAGGACACUGACAGCAAGGAGGAGAAACAAGGUCUUGAAAAAACCCAUGCUCAUUGGAGACCAUCUGGGAAGUGCGCCCAGAGAGUGAAGAAAGGAGCAGGUCAGCUGGAAGGAAGCAUGAGUUGUGGACAAAGAAGGAGAGGAGGAGGAAGAAAGAGAAGAGCCUACGCCGUCUCCUCUAAAUUUGCAUCCAGUCUCAGAAAGCAUACUUUGCUUUGAACUCUAUGCAGUGCCUGGCACAUGAGCUAAGGUCGGAUCGCAAAACUGAGUGCUGCGGACAAUUGCCUGGCGUCUCCUACUUUUCCCCCUUGGCUCUCCUGUGGAAACUUUACCGUAACACACUACCGCUUGCUUUACAAAAUGUUUGUUUAUGAAAGUUCUGAGAUGCCAGCAGAGAUUUUAGAAUCGGAAAGACUUGGUUUUAAUUCUCAGCUUUGCUAUGGGACCUUGGACAAAGUAUAUGCCCUCCUGAAGAUUCAGUUUUUCCACAGUAAAUGUUUCUCUCAUGAAAGAAAAGGGAGAAAACGUAUGUGAAAACCUGGGCAAAGUGCUUGGCACUUCAUACAACCCAGAAUUCCAGUUAAUCUGUUUACUAGAUAUUUCCCGAAUGUUCGCCACUUGCAGAGGCCUGUCUGCAGGGUGCUGAGCACACGGUGGGGGACGGUCAGGUCUGGUGCCCGCGGAUGCAGGACUUACAUUCCAGCAGGAAAAGCAGAUAAUAAUCAUGGAAACAAAGUGUAAUUACAGAGGUUGGUUAGCCCAGGAGUAAAUAAGCAGGGUGCAUGGCUCGGGGGUCGCAGGAGGACCUCUCUCUGCGAGGAAAGCCGCGGAAGGCUUCACUGCCACCCGAAGCAUGAGAAUGAGCAAGCGGAGCCAAGAGCUGUUCAAGGCAGAGGCACGAACAUCGUCGGCUCGGAAAGAGACUGUCCACCUCCCUGGUCAACCAACUGGCGACGGGCGCCAGCCCCAGGUGGCCGCCUAAUGGGCUCUGGGGCUGGAAUCCACAGAGGAGUCCCACUUUCAAAUCCCUCUUUGUGCGGUUUCGCAACCUGCUAGACUGCUUCCUUUCUACUCUGGCUCCAUCUACUGAACGAAAACGGCCAGUGCUGCCUAAAUUUGUCUAUUACGGCUUUGUCCACAAUCUUCAAUGAAGUGGAAACAGAAUACACUUACCCUGAACAUGGUACUUAGUUUUGACUCUGUCAAGCUCUACUUCCCAGCAGAACGAGUUUAAAGGGAUUCUGAUCAUUCCUUCUGAACACAUUUGCUUUUUUUUUUUUUUUUUCCCAGUGUCCUUAAUAGUAAUUAAUUAUGUUGGCUAGUGUGGCUUAUAGAAGCUGCAACCUUCCAUUUUGUUUAAAAGAAAACCACAGGUUUGAAAGGGAGUCACUUAUGGGGUGCCUGGCUGGCCCAGGCAGUAGA